AACGGGGAUAGGGUGGCCACCCGACAAGCCGGUUUCCUGGCCGGUUUCCCCGACAUAAUUACCAGGG
rnacentral:sRNA from 1 species